AGCCUUUGCCCUGAACAUGACUGUUUCUCUCCAGCAUCAAAGAGAAGCUCAUGACCCAGGCGGACCGGUUCAGUGAGGAGGAGAUCAAGCAGAUGUUUGCGGCUUUCCCGCCAGAUGUGUGCGGCAACCUGGACUACAGGAACCUGUGCUACGUCAUCACGCACGGCGAGGAGAAGGACUAGGAGCCCAGGGUCUCCCCACAUUCAGAGUCAGCAAAUACUGGGUGGUGGGCACUGAUGGGGAGCUCCUGCAGCCAGAGUGUGCAGGGCAAGGCUCCCUGGUCUUAUGGGUCGGAACGAAGCAAGAAUAAAUCCUGCUAACAUGG